AAUCAACGCUGGCGGCGUGCCUCAGACAUGCAAGUCGAACGCGAAAGUCCCCUUCGGGGGAUGACUAGAGUGGCGCACGGGUGAGUAACACGUAGGUAAUCUACCUUCGAGUGGGGAAUAACUCAGGGAAACUUGAGCUAAUACCGCAUAAUGCAGCGGCACCACAUGGUGACAGUUGUUAAAGCAUUUAUGCGCUUGAAGAGGAGCCUGCGGCGGAUAGCUAGUUGGUAAGGUAAUGGCUUACCAAGGCUACGAUCUGUAACCGGCCUGAGAGGGCGGACGGUCACACUGACACUGAAUAACGGGUCAGACUCCUACGGGAGGCAGCAGUCGGGAAUUUUGGGCAAUGGGCGAAAGCCUGACCCAGCAACGCCGCGUGAAGGAUG
rnacentral:rRNA from 1 species